rnacentral:lncRNA from 10 species
CUGCAUGUGUUCACCCCUCCCCAAAUCCAUGUGUUGAAAUCCGAAUCCCCAACAUGAUGGUGAGGAGGUGGAGGCUCUGGGAAGUGAUUAGGUCAUGAUGGUGAGGAGGUGGAGGAUCUGGAAGUGAUCAGGUCCUGAUGGUGAGGAGGUGGAGGAUCUGGAAGUGAUUAGGUGGUGAUGGUGAGGAGGUGGAGGAUCUGGAAGUGAUUAGGUCGUGAUGGUGAGGAGGUGGAGGAUCUGGGAAGUGAUUAGGUCGUGAUGGUGAGGAGGUGGAGGAUCUGGAAGUGAUUAGGUCGUGAUGGCGAGGAGGUGGAGGAUCUGGGAAGUGAUUAGGUCGUGAUGGUGAGGAGGUGGAGGAUCUGGGAAGUGAUUAGGUCGUGAUGGUGAGGAGGUGGAGGCUCUGGGAAGUGAUUAGGUAGUGAUGGUGAGGAGAUGGAGGAUCUGGAAGUGAUUAGCUCAUGAUGGUGAGGAAGUAGAGGAUCUGGAAGUGAUUAGGUCGUGAUGGUGAGGAGGUGGAGGAUCUGGAAGUGAUUAGGUCGUGAUGGUGAGGAGGUGGAGGCUCUGGGAAGUGAUUAGGUCGUGACGGUGAGGAGGUGGAGGAUCUGGAAGUGAUUAGGUCGUGAUGGUGAGGAGGUGGAGGCUCUGGGAAGUGAUUAGGUCGUGAUGGUGAGGAGGUGGAGGAUCUGGAAGUGAUUAGGUCGUGAUGGUGAGGAGGUGGAGGAUCUGGAAGUGAUUAGGUCGUGAUGGUGAGGAGGUGGAGGAUCUGGAAGUGAUUAGGUCGUGAUGGUGAGUAGGUGGAGGAUCCGGGAAGUGAUUAGGUCGUGACGGUGAGGAGGUGGAGGAUCCGGGAAGUGAUUAGGUCGUGAUGGUGAGGAGGUGGAGGAUCCGGGAAGUGAUUAGGUCGUGAUGGUGAGGAGGUGGAGGAUCUGGAAGUGAUUAGGUCGUGAUGGUGAGGAGGUGGAGGAUCUGGAAGUGAUUAGGUCGUGAUGGUGAGGAGGUGGAGGAUCUGGAAGUGAUUAGGUCGUGAUGGUGAGGAGGUGGAGGAUCUGGAAAUGAUUAGGUCAUGAUGGUGAGGAGGUGGAGGCUCUGGACGUGAUUAGGUCGUGAUGGUGAGGAGGUGGAGGAUCUGGAAGUGAUUAGGUCGUGAUGGUGAGGAGGUGGAGGAUCUGGAAUUGAUU